UACGUAGGGACCAAGCGUUGUUCGGAUUUACUGGGCGUAAAGGGCGCGUAGGCGGCAUGACAAGUCACUUGUGAAAUCUCCGGGCUUAACUCGGAACGGUCAAGUGAUACUGUCGCGCUAGAGUGCGGAAGGGGCAAUCAGAAUUCUUGGUGUAGCGGUGAAAUGCGUAGAUAUCAUGAGGAAUACCUGAGGUGAAGACGGGUUGCUAGGCCGACACUGACGCUGAAGCGCGAAAGCCAGGGGAGCAAACGGG
rnacentral:rRNA from 1 species